GAUUUGUCACAACAUGUUCAGAUGGCAAUGGAGAAUAUGCUUAAGAUGAUAAAUGAAAUUGAUCAAAACUCUUCGGGAAUACUGGAAGAUGUAGAGAAGUGCAAAGACUCAGCUCUUGAAAGGAAGAAAAGUUUGGAGGAAGAGAAGGAACGGUUCCAGAAAGCUGCAUUCACCGUUUUGGACAUGCUGAAUAGCAGAGAAUGAAAACUAAUUUUGUCGAAGGUAAUAGAAUAAUAAGAGUCAAAUCCGUCAUCUUAGAGAAAUCGAGGCCAAAGAGAGCAGUUUACUUGUAAACCUAUCACUAGCCCGAGACAUUAUCUUUGAGGCUAUUGGUUUGAUACAGAGGUGAAGGACUAUGUUUUUACUAUAAUGUCAUCAUAUUUCAGAUUGAUAAUCAAAUAAG